CCAGCUUGGCUGGAUGUCUCUAGAAGGACAAGAAACCAUGGCCACUAUGUCUGCAGCACUUGGGGAAACAACCACUUCAAAACUUUUGAUGGCGACGUCUACCAAUUCCCUGGCGUUUGCGAGUAUAAUUUUGUUUCCGACUGCCGAGAUGCUUACAAGGAAUUCUCUGUCCACAUCCAGCGUGCUCUCAACAGCAAUGGCCAUCCUGAGAUCCAGUAUAUUCUGAUGAAAAUCAAGGAUAUAACCGUCUACCUCAAACCAAACCUGGUUGUGGUGGAUGGGCGGAUUGUGAAGACACCUUACUACUCCUCUGGUGUCUUCAUUGAGGCCAGUGAAAUUUACACCAAGAUUUAUGCCAAAUUAGGCAUGGUUCUGAUGUGGAACCAGCAGGAUGCCCUGAUGGUGGAGCUGGACAACAAAUUUAAUAACCAUACCUGUGGUCUCUGUGGGGAUUACAAUGGAAUUCAAAUCUACAAUGAGUUCAUCAAAGGAGGUGACUACAACUCAAUUACAUUUGGGAACAUGCAGAAGAUCAGCAAACCCACUGCCAAAUGUGAAGAUCCAGAUGAAACCCAGGCUCUUCCAAGCUGUAAUGAGCAUCGUGAUGAGUGUCACAGGUUGCUGACUUCCCCUGCAUUUGCUGAUUGUCGGCUACGGCUUAAUUUGGAAAUGUACAUCCAAGCCUGCAUGCAGGACAAGUGUGCCUGUAAUGGGAAGACAGACUCCUUCUGCCUCUGCAGCACCAUCUCUGAGUAUUCCCGCCAGUGUUCGCACGCAGGGGGCCGCCCAAGAGAAUGGAGGACAGAGAGCUUCUGCCCCAAGAGCUGUCCUGCUACCAUGGUCUACAGAGAAAGCAGCUCACCCUGCAUGGAUACUUGCUCACACUUGGACAUCAGCAGCCUUUGUGAGGAGCACUACAUGGAUGGCUGUUUCUGCCCUGAAGGAACUGUGUAUGAUGAUAUCAGUGAAAAAGGCUGCAUCCCUGUUAGCCAGUGCCACUGCAAACUUGGUGGAAAGACCUAUGCACCUGGAGAAAGGAUUUCCAAAGAAUGUGAAGAAUGCACCUGUAAUUCAGGCAGAUGGACCUGCAAAGACCUAGACUGUCCAGGCACAUGCUCAGUGGAAGGAGGUUCCCAUAUUUCCACCUUUGAUGGGAAGAAAUACACCUUCCAUGGAGACUGCUACUAUGUGUUGGCCAAGGGUACUGAAAAUGAGAAUUAUGCUCUCCUGGCAGAGCUGGCUCCCUGUGGCUCCACAGACAAACAGACCUGCUUGAAGACUGUUGUGCUGUUAGCAGAUAACAAAAAGAAUGUGGUGGUUUUCAGAUCAGAUGGCAGCGUGCUCCUGAAUGACAUGACAGUGAAUGUGCCUCAUGUGUCAGCCAGCUUCUCAGUAUUCAAGCCGUCUUCCAACUACUUUGUUGUACAAACUUCUUUUGGGCUUCAGAUGCAGAUCCAGCUGUUUCGAGUCAUGCAGCUGUUUGUGACUGUGGAUCAAUCAGUUAAAGGAAAACUUCAAGGUCUUUGUGGAAACUUCAAUGGAGUGGAAGGUGAUGACUUUAGAACAACCAGCGGGCUGAUUGAGGCUACAGGAUCUGCCUUUGCUAACACAUGGAAAGCUCAGUCCACCUGCUCAGACCAGGCAGAAAAGCUGGAAGACCCCUGCAGUCUCAGCAUUGAAAGUGCAAAUUAUGCUGAGCAUUGGUGUUCUUUGCUGAGAAACCCAAAGGGUCCUUUUGCAAGAUGUCACUCAGCCAUUGAUCCUUCAGAAUACUAUAAGAAAUGUAAAUAUGACACCUGCCUCUGUGAAGACAAUGAAGAAUGUUUGUGUGCUGCCCUGUCCUCUUACUCAAGAGCCUGUUGGCACAGUAAUCCCUUCUUCCUUUACAAUCUUACAAUGUGCCAGCAAACCUGUCGUUCCCUUGCUGAUGGUGAAAAGUAUUGCUUGCAAGACUUUGCUCCUGUGGAUGGCUGUGGCUGCCCAUCCAAUACAUACUUGGAUAACCAGGAUAACUGUGUGCCCAUCUCCCAGUGCCCAUGUUAUUACAAGGGCUCAUACCUGGAACCUGGGGAAUAUUUCACAAAAGAUGGAGAACGCUGGUAUGUUUUAUUUUGGCUUCUUUUUUGUGGGGAUAAAGUGCUUAGGUUUUUUGGUACUUUAAUGAGUCUUGAGGCUUGGAUAUUUUGCACAUUAUCACAUUAUAUCAGGCAGCUGCUUGGUUUGUUCUGCAGUUUUUCAAACCACAUACUAUUGGUGAGAUCUGAAAAUUCAACCUUUCUGCUCUCUUCUAGCACCUGCCAGAAAGGGCUUUGGAAAUGCACUGAUGACGUGUGCUAUGGGACUUGCACAAUAUAUGGAAGUGGCCAUUAUAACACUUUUGAUGGGAAAUUCUAUGACUUUGAUGGGAGCUGUGAAUAUGUGGCUGCUCAGGACUUCUGUGGCGACAAAAAUUCCAGUGGCUCAUUCAGUAUCAUCACAGAGAAUGUCCCUUGUGGAACUACAGGAGUCACCUGCUCAAAGGCUAUCAAAAUGUUCCUAGGGAAAACUGAACUGAAAUUGGAGAACAAAGAGUACAAAGAAAUUCAGCGAGAUGUUGGUGAUGAUGUGCAGUAUUGGAACAGGACAGUCGGGCUGUACUUGGUUAUUGAGGCUAGCAAUGGUGUGAUGCUGAUCUGGGACAAGAAGACCACUGUUUUCAUCAAGCUGAGCCCUGAUUACAAAGGCAAAGUGUGUGGUCUGUGUGGCAACUUUGAUGACAAGGCAAACAACGAUUUUACAACAAGGAGUGGACUGCAGGACUCUAAUCCUCUGAUUUUUGGAAAUUCCUGGAAACAAUCUCCCAUGUGCCCAGAUGUCACAAAAGAGAUUAAGCCCUGUGAUCUGAAACCACACCGGAAAUCCUGGGCAGAGAAAGAAUGCAGCAUCAUCCAGAGCGAAGUCUUCGAAAUUUGUCACUCCAAGGUGAACCCACUUCCUUUCUAUGAAGCUUGUGUUCAUGAUGCCUGCUCUUGUGACAGUGGUGGAGAUUGCGAGUGCUUCUGCUCUGCAGUUGCAGCGUACGCCCAAGAGUGCAUCAAGGCUGAGGCCUGUGUUUUCUGGAGAACUCCUGAUAUCUGCCCCAUAUUCUGUGACUACUACAACCCUCGCAAUGAGUGUGACUGGCACUACGAGCCUUGUGGCAGUAAUAUCACAACCUGCAGGAUGAUCAAUAACGUCAGCACCAACUUUACAAUACCACUACUGGAAGGCUGCUACCCCAGAUGCCCUAAGGACAAGCCUAUUUAUAAUGAAGAGACAAAGGAAUGUGUGACUGAAGACAAAUGUGGAUGUUACCUCGAGGAUGGAACCCAUGUACCCCCUGGGCAAGAAGUAGUCACAGAAGACAACUGUACAAUAUGGUAUAUAAAAAUUACUUGCAUUAUCGGAAAAGUACAGGAUGGCGACAUAUGUAUAAUAUACAUUUGUGCAGAAGAUGGUACUACAAAUAUUACGAUCGUGCCUUGUCCAACAACUUCACCUACAACCAUUUCAACCUCCUUCCCUUCCAGCACUCUUACCACCACCACCACCACAGCUCCUUGCUUUGGACUGAUCUGUGAGUGGACUGAGUGGUUUGAUGUUAGCAAACCUGAAGAAGGUGAUGGUGACUAUGAAACAUACGAGGAAAUAAGAAACCAUGGAAACAAAAUAUGUAGAGCUCCUGAAAAAAUUGAAUGCAGGGCUAAGGAUAAACCUGAUGUGAGCUUAGAAGAACUUGGUCAGAAAGUCCAGUGUAAUGUUACAUAUGGGCUAAUCUGUAAAAAUGAUGAGCAAGAUGUAACUAUGUGGCAACUUUGCUAUAAUUAUGAAAUCAGAGUAAACUGUUGUGAGUGGCAAGAAAUACCUUGUGAGCCUACAACUACACCUACUACACCACAAACUACAACUUCAACCACCAUCAAGACAAUACCCACCACCACUACAAUCAGGACUUCAACCACACCUAUAGCCGAGCCUACCACAAGUGAGUAUAUACCACCAGUCUUCACUCCAGUAACCUCAACAUCUACAGGUAUUAAUAGAAAAGUACUCUUCCAAUUGUGCCUUUGUCUGUUUUCUCUGUCCCUGCUGAUUCUAACAGGCACAACGAGCACAGCAUCCCCCACAACAGAAUUGCCAACCACUCCUCCACCACCAGAGACUCCCAUCACCACGACUACCACCACCACUAUCACCACCACCACCCCCACCACCACUACCACCACCCCCACCACAGGACCAACGACAACACCCCCACCAGGUCACCCUGUGCCUCCAACUACAGUACCAACACAGAAUUCUCUUCUGGUGCCCUGCAUUGGUGUCUCUGUCCUGUCUGUUUCUAAUUGUCUGUCUUGUUGUCGCCUCCCAGGCUGUGACUGCGUCUGGUCGGACUGGAUUGACAUGACUUACCCAAAUGCUUCUGACAAGGACAGUGGUGACUACGAAACCUUUGAGAACAUUUGGAAGAACUUCCCCUCCUGGGAGUGUGCAAAAGUUGAAAAUGUUUCUUGCCGAUCAGAGAAAUUCCCUAACAUUCCCAUUGCAGAUUUAGGGCAGAAAGUGGAAUGUAGUGUUGACGUAGGUCUCGUCUGUAACAAUAAAGACCAGCAGAUAGGAGAGGGUACCACAACACCUGAACCAGAGACGUCGACAAAGACAAACACUCCAGUUACUCCUUCAACUACCCCUCUGCCAACAACAAGAACAACAGAAGUAAGUACACCUACUGCAAGCACCACUAGUCAACAGUCAACAUCACCAGUGUCAACAAGCCCAGUGACAGCUACCACCUCUGAAGUCACUGAAACAACACCAACCACCAAGACCACCACUUCAGGUCCCACACCCUCAAGAUCCACCAGCACCACACCAGUAACAGAAACACCUUAUCAUGAGACCACUACCAUCAGGACCCCAAGCCCCCAAUCUACCACCACUUCCAGCCCUGGCACCACCACAACCUCGGGACCAAGCAGCACUACAGUAACACCACCACCAAUAACAACAACCACCAAGACCACCACUUCAGGCCCCACACCCUCAGUGUCCACUCCCCCCACCACCACAGGAGGAACCGAAAUAAGUACCCCAGGGACAACCUCUGCAACUGUUACUACUCCAACAACAUCACCUGCAUCAACCAGCCCUGUGUCAACCACCACCUCUGGUACUACUCCAACAGAAAGCUUUACCACCACUUCAGGAACCACCUCCGUCAAUGUAACCACCACCUCCACCACAUUCACAACCCUUCCCCCUAGCUCAACUACUACAUCUGGGCCAACUGCAACAUCAACUGCAGUCACCACUACAGGAAGUUCUACGCACAGUGCAACUCCUCCAGUUAAUGGCUCAAGUUCAACUACAAGUCUAACACCAACCACUCCUAAAAAGACUUGUACUAUUUUCCCUAAUGAAUCUUAUGAGGUGAGUAGAUUUCAUGCUUUCAUUGUGCUUUGGAUGGUGACUAGACAUAUCACUUCAAUAAACCUGCAGAAGAUAUUCAGGCAUAACUGUGGUCAGUCUCACUACUUCCUAAGGUUUGUCUCUGUCUCCUCCCUCCUCUCUUUUCAAACACAGCAAGGUGACUCAUGGUGGCUCUGUAACUGCACUAAGGCAAUAUGUAUAGAAGACAACAUUGUCCAGGUGAUUCCAGUAAUCUGCAAUCCACCUCCGAAACCCACAUGUGCCAAUGGACUGUCUCCUGUGCCAGUCAUUGAUGAGGAUGGAUGCUGUUGGCACUGGGAGUGUGAUUGCUACUGCACUGGCUGGGGAGAUCCACAUUACAUGACUUUUGAUGGAUUGUACUACAGCUUUCAAGGAAAUUGUACAUAUGUCCUUGUGGAAGAGAUCAUUAAGAACGUUGACACCUUUGGUGUCUACAUUGAUAACUACCAUUGUGAUACACGGGAUGUAGUGUCCUGUCCUCGAACGCUCAUUGUGAGACACGAGACUCAGGAAAUCAGGCUAAGAACAGCAGAACCAAAUACUCUACAAGUGACAGUAAACAACCAGCUCGUGGCUUUACCUUAUAAAAAGUUUGGCGUGAGCAUCUAUGAGUCAGGCAUAAAUCGUGUUGUGGAAAUUCCUGAGCUGAAAAUGAAUGUGACCUACAAUGGCUUGUCCUUUUCUAUCAGAAUGCCCUACAGCCUGUUUGGCAACAACACCCAGGGACAGUGUGGUACUUGCAAUAACAACACAGCAGAUGACUGCAUGCUGCCAGAUGGAAAAAUUAUAGAUAACUGUGAAAUCAUGGCAGAUCAUUGGCAAGUUAAUGAUCCUUCCAAACCACAGUGCUCUCCAAGCCUAGUUCCUACAGGUUCACCAAGCACAACACCAACACAGCCUUGCAAAGAAUCUUCCAUCUGCGAGCUUCUUUUGGGAAGUGUGUUCAAGCCAUGCCAUUCCUUUGUCCAGCCUGAAAAGUACUAUGCAGCCUGUGUUUUUGAUAGCUGUGUACUUCCCAACCUAGACCUGGAAUGCUCAAGUCUGCAGAUCUAUGCUGCCACCUGUGCUGAUCAAGGCGUGUGCAUUGACUGGAGAAAACACACCAAUGGUGUUAUUUGGCAUAAUCCUCCUGUAUGUGCCUACAACAUUAAUUGUAUUCCUCUAAACAUUUUGUCUCACAGAGGACAGAAUGACACAUCAACUAAACAAGUGGAAGGCUGUUUCUGUCCUAAUGGAACCAUGCUGUAUGACUCUGGUGUGGAUGUCUGCGUGAAAACUUGUGGUGAGUUUUACUGCUUCACUUGGAUGCAUGUUUGUUUCCUCUUUGUUUCCUUCCAUUUUGGAGAAAAGUUUACAGUGGACUGUCAGGACUGCAUUUGCCUGGAAGGUGAACAUGGCAUUGUAUGUCAACCUCAUGUAUGUGAUCAGAAGAAGGUCACUUGUGAUGGAGAAGGCUUCUAUGAAGUCACCGAAGUCAAUCCUAAAGACCCCUGCUGCCCUCUUUUCACUUGCAAAUGCAAUACAAGCUUGUGCACAGCCAAAGCCCCCAAGUGCUCACUGGGAUUCGAAGUUCAUUCUCAUAUUCCCAGUGGUCAGUGCUGUCCUGUAUACCAAUGUGUUCCCAAGGGGGUUUGCGUACACGAGAAUGCUGAGUUCUUGCCCAACUCCUCAGUCUUUGUUGACAAGUGUCAGAAUUGUGUGUGCACAAACGAUGUUAACGUCAGCACUCAACUGAACAUCAUCUCCUGUCAACAUGUCCCCUGCAGCACAUACUGUGAACCAGGAUAUGAACUUAAACCAGUGAAAGGUGAAUGCUGUGGAAAAUGUGUGCAGACCAAGUGUAUUAUACACACAGCAGACAAUUCUGAACUCAUCUUGAGUGUAAGUAUGCUCUUAGUUCUCCACCAAAUCUAUAAAGUUCCCAGUUCCAGAAAGGGAACAUCUCCUUGCCAGAGACAAGAUUUUAGUAUAAUUUUUAACAUUGCCAUUUUGCAUGUUAACAGAUACUCUGCUGAGGCUAAUUCUAUGGACCACAGCUGCUCCUGCUGCAGAGAAACAAGGACCACUGAGAAGCAUGUGGUUCUGAAAUGCCCCGGUGGGCACUCAGUGUCACACAAGUACAUCUAUGUGGAGAGCUGCAGCUGUCAAGACACUGCAUGCAGCAGGCCCCAGUCCAAUGACCUGCAGAGCAACAAAGAAAAUGACAAGGCGAGCACUCUGAGCCGGGUCAAGAGAGCCAUCAGCUUAACAUCAAAAUGA
rnacentral:lncRNA from 1 species